AUUGAACGCUGGCGGCAGGCCUAACACAUGCAAGUCGAGCGGUAGCACAGAGAGCUUGCUCUUGGGUGACGAGCGGCGGACGGGUGAGUAAUGUCUGGGAAACUGCCUGAUGGAGGGGGAUAACUACUGGAAACGGUAGCUAAUACCGCAUAACGUCGCAAGACCAAAGAGGGGGACCUUCGGGCCUCUUGCCAUCAGAUGUGCCCAGAUGGGAUUAGCUAGUAGGUGGGGUAACGGCUCACCUAGGCGACGAUCCCUAGCUGGUCUGAGAGGAUGACCAGCCACACUGGAACUGAGACACGGUCCAGACUCCUACGGGAGGCAGCAGUGGGGAAUAUUGCACAAUGGGCGCAAGCCUGAUGCAGCCAUGCCGCGUGUAUGAAGAAGGCCUUCGGGUUGUAAAGUACUCUUCAGCGGGGAGGAAGGUGUUGAGGUUAAUAACCUCAGCAAUUGACGUUACCCGCAGAAGAAGCACCGGCUAACUCCGUGCCAGCAGCCGCGGUAAUACGGAGGGUGCAAGCGUUAAUCGGAAUUACUGGGCGUAAAGCGCACGCAGGCGGUCUGUCAAGUCGGAUGUGAAAUCCCCGGGCUCAACCUGGGAACUGCAUUCGAAACUGGCAGGCUAGAGUCUUGUAGAGGGGGGUAGAAUUCCAGGUGUAGCGGUGAAAUGCGUAGAGAUCUGGAGGAAUACCGGUGGCGAAGGCGGCCCCCUGGACAAAGACUGACGCUCAGGUGCGAAAGCGUGGGGAGCAAACAGGAUUAGAUACCCUGGUAGUCCACGCCGUAAACGAUGUCGACUUGGAGGUUGUGCCCUUGAGGCGUGGCUUCCGGAGCUAACGCGUUAAGUCGACCGCCUGGGGAGUACGGCCGCAAGGUUAAAACUCAAAUGAAUUGACGGGGGCCCGCACAAGCGGUGGAGCAUGUGGUUUAAUUCGAUGCAACGCGAAGAACCUUACCUACUCUUGACAUCCAGAGAACUUUCCAGAGAUGGAUUGGUGCCUUCGGGAACUCUGAGACAGGUGCUGCAUGGCUGUCGUCAGCUCGUGUUGUGAAAUGUUGGGUUAAGUCCCGCAACGAGCGCAACCCUUAUCCUUUGUUGCCAGCGGUUCGGCCGGGAACUCAAAGGAGACUGCCAGUGAUAAACUGGAGGAAGGUGGGGAUGACGUCAAGUCAUCAUGGCCCUUACGAGUAGGGCUACACACGUGCUACAAUGGCGCAUACAAAGAGAAGCGACCUCGCGAGAGCAAGCGGACCUCAUAAAGUGCGUCGUAGUCCGGAUUGGAGUCUGCAACUCGACUCCAUGAAGUCGGAAUCGCUAGUAAUCGUAGAUCAGAAUGCUACGGUGAAUACGUUCCCGGGCCUUGUACACACCGCCCGUCACACCAUGGGAGUGGGUUGCAAAAGAAGUAGGUAGCUUAACCUUCGGGAGGGCGCUUACCACUUUGUGAUUCAUGACUGGGGUGAAGUCGUAACAAGGUAACCGUAGGGGGAACC
rnacentral:rRNA from 1 species